rnacentral:tRNA from 1 species
UCCCCGGUAGCUCAAUUGGCAGAGCGCCUGCCUACCGCAGGUAGGAGUGGUUGUUAACCACUAGGUUGGUGGUUUGAGUCCGUCCCGGGGAGCCA